UCCAUCAUUCAGUUGGGCACUCUAGAGAGACUGCCGAGGACAACUCGGAGGAAGGUGGGGAUGACGUCAAAUCAUCAUGCCCCUUAUGUCCUGGGCUACACACGUGCUACAAUGGCUGGUACAAAGAGACGCAAGACCGCGAGGUGGAGCAAAUCUCAAAAACCAGUCCCAGUUCGGAUUGCAGGCUGCAACUCGCCUGCAUGAAGUUGGAGUUGCUAGUAAUCGCAGAUCAGAAUGCUGCGGUGAAUGCGUUCCCGGGUCUU
rnacentral:rRNA from 1 species